rnacentral:lncRNA from 1 species
CUGGCUAGUGCUGGGCAGAAGGUUGUUGUAAUUGAGAAAGGGAACUACUUCACUCCCAAGGAUUAUUCUCUCCUUGAAGGUCCUUCAUUUGAGCAACUAUAUGAAUCCGGAGGGAUCCUUCCAACUACUGAUGCGAACAUGACGAUUCUGGCAGGAUCAACUAUUGGUGGCGGCUCAGCUAUCAAUUGGUCGGCCUGCAUCAAGACACCCAAGUCCUUGCUUCAGGAAUGGGCAGGGGACUAUAAGCUCCCACUCUUUGGUAGCCCUGACUAUCUUUCGGCAAUGGAUAUCGUGUGGGAGAGGAUUGGUGUUACGGAGAAUUGUGUACAAGAGGGGUUCCAGAAUCAAGUACUUCGAAAAGGAUGUAAAAAUCUUGGCCUUGAUGUUGAAAGGAUACCGAGAAAUUCCUCAGAGAAUCAUUACUGUGGAUCCUGCGGUCAUGGCUGUAAAAGCGGAGACAAAAAGGGGACUGAUAGUACCUGGCUUGUUGAUGCCGUAAACCAUGGUGCAGUCAUUUUAACGGGAUGCAAAGCCGAGAGAUUCAUAAUUGAGAAGAGCGAUAAUGGAAGCACAAGGACAAUGAAAUGCUCGGGAGUGAUAGCAAAAGCUUUGAAUAACGACAUCAGAAUGAAGUUUCAGAUCGAAACAAAAGCAACAAUCUCAGCAUGUGGGGCUCUAUUGACUCCCCCUUUGAUGAUCUCUAGUGGAUUGAAGAAUCAGCACAUUGGCAAGAAUCUUCACCUUCAUCCUGUUCUGAUGGCCUGGGGAUACUUUCCAGACUCAAACUUAGAGUUCAAAGGAAAAAACUAUGAGGGUGGAAUAAUCACAUCGGCCCACAAGGUGGUUUCAGCAGAUUCCGAAGUGAGAGCCCUCAUCGAAACUCCUGAAUUUUCACCUGCAAAAUUUUCUGUAUUUUGUCCUUGGUUGUCCGGAAUUGACUUUAAGCAAACCAUGUUGAAGUAUUCAAGAACCGCACAUUUGAUAACAAUAAUCAGGGAUCGCGGAUCUGGAGAAGUUAAAGUAGAGGGAAGGAUAAGCCAUAAAUUAGAUCAAUUGGACAAAGAAAAUUUGAAAGCCGGAUUGAGGCAGGCUUUGAGGAUUUUAAUAGCAGCAGGAGCCGUUGAAGUUGGCACUCAUCGGAGUGAUGGGCAGCGACUCAAAUGUGAAGGAAUUACCGAAAAGGAAGUGGAGCAGUUUCUGGACACAGUUUAUGCAGCAGAAGGGCCAAAGUCACCGGUGGAGAACUGGAUGGUCUAUGCUACCGCCCAUCAAAUGGGAAGCUGUAGGAUGGGCGUUAAUGAAAAAGAGGGCGGGGUUGACGAGAACGGGCAGAGUUGGGAAGCAGAAGGCCUAUAUGUUUGCGAUGCUAGUGUUCUUCCAAGCGCUGUUGGUGUCAAUCCUAUGAUCACAAUCCAGUCUACUGCUUACUGUCUCUCAAAGAGAAUAGCGGAAUCCUUGAGAGAACAGUCCUCAUAAGGUUUACUGAUUCUCUAUAUUGCUUUUCACUCAUGCUGGUGAGUGAAGGACUUCGGUUGUUUCAGUCUUCAUAUGUCCAAAUGGUAUCAGCAGUUAUAUUUGGAAAUUGUAAUGACAUGGAUUGAGUAAAAUUCGGGCAUUCUUCAGGUGAAAAAAACAAUAUCUAUUACUGUUAUGAGAUUUGAUACAUAGAUGUUUGUUGUCUUAGAAAUAAUGCAUUUUGGGAUUCUUUAAAUUUACCUAUGAAUCUCAUGAAUGAGACAAAUAGAGUUUAAGAAAGUUACCAUGCAAAAGAGUUUAUCGUCUACAAACAAAAUUCGGCGGAGUGUGCAAUUUGAUUCUGGGGAACUUGCCAUAUGUCAAGCUUAACAGAAGCCGAUGGUGAAAAUACCAGCCAGCUCAUGAAAAAUUUGGCUUACUCUCUCUAUCUCUACACUCAGAGAUACAAUGACCGGACGUGGUACUGUUUACUCAGCUUGAGUGUCUGCAUUGCUGAUGGAAUCUGUAACAGACUAAAAUAAACCUCGGGCCGACACGCCACGUCAUCACAUCCAUUACCGAUUUAACAGAUUUCAUUCAAUACCGGGUUUUAUUUCUUUAUUUGAUUUUCAGUCCUCAGAUUUUUUUUUUCAUUUUUAUUUAACUUUCUUUGUGGUGGGAAAAGUCGUUAUGGUAUCAAAUCCCAACUGUAUUGAACAACCGCUAUCAACCAAGUUUAGUUCAGAUUUAUUUGUUAUUAGUAUUUUUGUUAAUGUAUGCUAAGAAUUGUCUUUGUUCGUUAGCAUUGUCUAUAGAUAUUUUAGUGAUCUGUCCAUGUGUUUGCUCUAUUAGGGAUGUGUUAACACUUGGAGCUUGACAAUUGGCAAAUUGAGUUGGAACUGUGAUCAAUGAAUGAUAAGGAUUUUCUUCCACAUUGUUGUAAUAAAAUGCGGAUCCUUCUUGCCUUAAGUAGCAUACGCCAUUGAACAGUGGUAACAUGUAACCACAUCACAGUCUCCACCCAAGCUAUUCUUAGAGCUACAUUCAAGGCCUAUAAUCGAAUUUCUCAAUGUGUUAGGAUAAGUUUUCAAAUGUUUGACGAGAAUGCCAUGAUUAACUCUGGGAAAAUUGACAAAGGACUCACGAUGGAAAUGUAGUAGAUGCUUUUGUUCCUCAGAAUCAAGUCAUCUCUAAGCCAAGGGUUCCUCGAAUUUGGGUUCAAGAAUCCCCAAUCCUUGACAAAAUCUCAGUAUAAUUGAUAAAUAGUGGCCACCACAGAAGUCCCCAAGACUAUGCCAAACCACAGGUAGUUGCUUUGCCUAGUGUAUGUCAAUCUGGCGCCGGCUGCCACCAUGGCUGAAACAUACUUCCCCAUUUUAGCCAAAUGGUUUGUGUCUUAUUCAUCAAACCAUCGCCUUGCACACUGAGAGUCAAAUUAUAGAAUGUUAGAUUUUAUGGUGUGUCCGCGGAAGUCAAUAAAGAAAUUAACUACUAGGUGUAUGAGUUUACCUGCAUUGCACGCCAAUAAUAUGGCAAAAAUGAGAUGACAUAAGCAAGCUCCCUGUAUAGUCUUCCAUUCUUGCAGGUGUCAUAAUGAUGUGUUUUGAAACUUCCCGCUAGAACAUAACAGGCUGCCGAUUCUAAGUGUCUCAAUAAUGGAAUCCGAAAAUGAGAAACAAUUGUUGAUGAUCACAGAAGAAAUAUACAGUCAGCUGAUUAUGUAAUUGAGAAAACUUCAUGCCUUGUUUCACAAGCAAGUUUCGAUACUUUAUGUUCGAAACUGGCAUUACCCCCUAGCAUGUGUUUGAUAGAUAAAAUUUUAACGCCGAUUGCUGGUUAGAGUGAUUACCUGACCAGUAAGUUGGUCAGCCAUGAAAAAGUCUACCAUCAAAACCUGCAUUCAUCGAAGAUGAUGUUAUCUGUGGUUGCUUUUAGAUACACAUAUGCAAUCCAUCUCCGUAAUGAAGAAGUGAAAGUAGGUAAACAUACCUUAUAAAAUGGUGAGCAGAUUAUGUUACAAAUUUUGCGAAGGAAGCAGUAGUGAGUUGGGCGAUAAAAGAUGUCAAAAGGACAUAUGAGCAGACAAAUUCAAAUCUAGAGAUGUAUAAGAGUGUAUUAGUAAUUUAGCAUGUACCAUGGUACUUUUUGCUACUAUCAUAUGUCAACAAAUUCACAUACACUAAAGUAUUUCUUGCAAUUAUGCAAUAAUGGAGCUAACCAGAAGGAGGAUUCCAGUCUGGCAUCAAUUUUGCCAGGCGAAAAGCUGCUAGCUCAUAGGAGGAGGUGCACAACCAUUGCUAUAACAACAACAGUCAUGAAAGUGGUGCAAAUGAGAAAUGCAUCUUUGUACUUUUUUUUUUUUUUUGAAACUGAUUAAGCAUCAGGUUACUGCAUUACACAGAUAUAUAUACAACUGCUAUGACAGCAGGUCAUUACACUGAUAUUUACAAUCAGAUAUAUAUACAUGGGACUUAUAUUAUUACAUUUUUAUUCUAUGAAGUACAUGUCCAUCCCAAAUACCCCUCACGGAGGAGGGAUGUCUCUACUCCACUCGCAUUUCGCAAGGGAGAAAGACGUUUAUAGAAAUCUCCACACAAUUAUGUUUAAUUGGAGGAGGUUGAGUCCGUGGGGACUCAAACCAUUGCCCUCAUAGUCAUGCUUAACUUUGAGGGCAAUGGUCCACCACUGGGCUACAAGCCCAAGUGGCAAAUGCAUCUUUGUACUUGAGUGCAGUGUUGGGUGAAAAUUCAAAUAUGAAUUUGUAGUUGAUCCUUGUGCUCUUCCACAUGAACAAGUUACACCCAUACAUAAACAAGUGCAAGCACAAUAAUGCAAACACACCGCACAACAAAAAUAAAAUUUCCUUGAGUUCUAACUCCAUGCAUAUCAAACCCAUCAAGGAUGGAUGCAAAUGGGCCCAAGCCCACCAAAGUCAUUGAUUGGACUCUGGCUCAUAUGGUAGCACCCAAUUUCUUGGCUUUUUUUUUUAUCACUUUUAAGUGCAUGUUGUGCAUUGUUCUGUGUUAAAAUGUGCACCUGAAAACAAGAUAAACAAUUUCCAUGUAAGCAGCUUCAGUGUUGGCGGAAAAUAUGCCAGACAAGUGAGCCAGAAUUGCGUAUGCACAAAAUAAUGAUACAAAACAACCUGUAAAAUGCCCUGCAACAAUGACAACAAAAAGAAACUCAAAUCACUCAAAUCAUCCAUGGCAAUAAAUUCUCCGAAGCAUCUGCCUCAAACAUAUGGUGGGGAAUCAAAUAUAUGCACUAUUUUCUCAUUGUAACCCAAAUUAAAUUUUUUUCCGCUAGUGGGAUUAGUGCUAGCUGCUAGCCAGAUUUUGUGUGGGAUUGAAAAUUCCAGUGCUACUUUGCAUUAUCUUAUAGUAUAUGCAUACUAAAACUUUAAGCUAUAACAGUAACCAUGUGCAUUUGUAAGUAUGACAAGGAUUUUUUAUGGUUGACAAUCCUUAUUUUUCUUGGGGUUCGGUACCUUGUAGGAGUCGUAUUUUUCCAUUCGGUGCAACACCACGAUGUAGAUAACAUAUAUUUGACAAUAGAAUAACUCAAUAUUUUGACAUUUACGAGAAAUCUUUUCGAGAUAUGAUAAUUUGUUCCAUCGGAUAAAUGCUCAUGAAAUGAUUACUUGUAGUUCCUACCUAGUUGCUGCGAAUAUUUCAUUCACCCUAUACGUAUCUACAUUCACCUUCGCAAGCCAAUUUGUUAGAUAAACUUGUGGGACCUCCUGCUUGGACUGAUAUAAGUAAGUGAGUUAGACUGUCAUUUAUAAUUGAAUUCUCACUUAACUCUUUUUUUUAAACUCAAAUUACAGGCCUGUAGCGGUCACUCUUGUUAAGGCUGCUUAUUGUGGAGAAUAUACUGAGGCUAAAUAGAACAAGUUUAAGAAACAAAACCAUGUCAGCAAAGAUUGUUAAGGAAAACAGAACUUCAGUUGACAGCUCAGCAUAAGUUGUUGAAAGUUUGUUAUUAGUCAUAUGUGUGUAAUAAAAUAAUUAGUUUUAAGUAAUAAGUAAUUGAAGUUUGUUACAGAUGGUUACAUAAAUGUGUAUGUAUAAAUACAUGUGUGUAUUGAUUCAAUAAGUCAAGAAGAUUAUGGAUUUAAUAAAAUUUAUUUUCUCUUUGUGAUUUUCUCUUCAGCCAAACACAUUUGCUUUCACAUGGUAUCAGAGCCAUCAAUGACAAGCUCUAGCACUUUAAUUCCAAUUAAGUCAAUUAAUAAUUCAAAUCAACUGAAUCAAGUAUCACAAGUUUUGUUUACAUUUGCUCUAACUGUCGAGCUUGAUCGAUCUAAUUUCUUACUCUGGCACAAACAAGUUUCAACUUCAAUUAGUGGAAAUCGGCUUGCAGGUUUCAUCUCAGAAGCUCAAACUAUUCUAAAUCAGUAAAUGUCUGUUACAAAUAUUGAUGGAUCUGUUGAAAAGGUUGAAAAUUCAACUUAUAUUAAUUGAAGAGCACAAGAUCAAACUCUUCUUGGCUGGCCACUAUCCACAAUUAGUGAUGCAACUUAGAUAUGAACUAGAUAUUUUGAUAAAAGAAUCCAUGAUUGUUAAAGAGUAUUAUAACAAAAUGAAAUUGCUUGCUAACAAACUUGCUUGUGCUGGUGAUACUAUAACUGAGAAGGAUCUGUUGAUGAGAAUUUUGAAUGGCCUAUGGCUUGGUUAUUUAGAUCUAGCUUCAAUUAUCACAGCUAAUAAAAUGAGAUAUGAUGAUGUAUAUGCAUUAUUAUUGACAAAUGAAGCAAAGAUUAGAACAAAAUCAGAACUCUCAGUCUAUGUUCAAUGCUAAUUACAACAUGAUGAAUACAAAUAACUCACACAUGAGAGGUAACUUUAGGAGAAGUUCUUCUGUUAAUGGACAUUUUGGUCAAUUUGGAGGCAGAAAUUCAAAUCCUAGUAGAGGCAUGAUUUCCAAUUCAUAUUCUAUGAGUUUUUCUACUGGUGGUAGUAACUUUGGUAGUAGAGGUGGUCAUUUUGGUGGAUUUAGCAGAGGUGGUCAUUUUGGUGGAGCUGGCAGAGGUCAAGUUAUGUAAUUUUCUAGACCACAUAUAAAAGACAUGUUUCUUUCUGCUGGAUUUCAAGUUCUAAAAACUAAUGAUUUUAGAGAAGGCAUUUCUAUCUGUCAAAUAUGUUACAAGCAAGGUCACACUGCUGAUGCUUGUUGCCACAUAUAUGAUGACACAUUUACCUUCAUCUAAAUCUUUUGGUAAUGGUCAAAUGUUUGGGCCAAAGACAUCAUAUAUGGCUACCUUUCAACCAUUCUCUAGUUAUCAAUCAUCGUUUGAAGAUUAUUAUGAUAUUCAUAACUCAAAUCAUUACUCUCUUGUCAUCUAUCUAUUAGAGCCUUUCAUUGAUGUUGUUCCUGAAGCUCAUGUUGUAGAUUUUGAGGGUCCUACUGAUGAAAGUUGGUACCUUGACAGUGGCGCUACACAUCACUUAACCAACAAUAUGGCUAAUAUGAAUGUUUGAGAGGAAUUUAAAGGCUUGGAUCAGCUUAUCAUUGGCAAUGGUCAAUGUUUGACUAUUACUCAUAUAGGUGAUGCUUAUUUUAGUUAUAAAGGUUCUAACAUUGCUUAUAAUCAUACAUACAUUGCACUUAGAGAUAUACUGUUGGUUCUUUCCAUUACAAAGAAUUUAUUGAGCAUCUCAAAACUAACAGCUAAUAAUAACCUCUAUGUUGAAUUUGUUGGCAAUGUUUGUUAUGUGAAGGAUUCUCUGAAAGGGAAAGUAUUUCUAUAGGGACUGUUGUGCAAAUUUUAUUGAACUCGCAAGUGCACGAAUCUAUUGUAGAAUAGAUCAAUGGUGACGAGUGUCGAUCCUACGAGGAGGUGGAUUUUAAUUAUAUGUAGAAUUAAUUUUCUAUGAGGGUGGUUGGAUUUGCGGUGAAAGUGAUUUAAACUAUCUUAGAAUUUAAAUUGGAAUGGCAGAAUUAAAUUAAAGUGGAAACUAUUAUAAUUGAAGCGCUUGGGUAUCUGGAUCUGCAUCAACAUGCACCAUGGGCUAAAUAUUCCUUAUUAGUGCCAAUUAAAUCAUGAGGGGGGAAUCCACACCUCAUGAACUACACUCUAAUCAAUAUGGUGCUAAGGGCUUAUUGUGUCAAAUAAUAAUAACCUUGUACUAGGGAGCUGGUGAAACCAGGGCGGUAUCUAGAUAAAAUUAUUAUUAUUUAUCAACGAGAAGUCAAAACAUCCACAAAAACUAGAAGGGAAGAGAAAAUAAAUUUACCAAAUAAAGCCCAUGACACAUGUUGAGACUUCACCUUCAACUCAAGCUUGAAAGAAAAUUAGCUACUCAUAAUUGAAUUAGGGGUAAAAUAGAAAUUUAUUAAAAUACGUAGAAAAUACAAGAUGGAGAAGGAAUUAUAGAAAAUGGAGUUCAAAAAUGAAUUCAUAGAUGCCAAAUUAGGGGGAAGGCCCCCUUUUUACAGAUACAUUCAGUAAAUCAUGGCCAUCGGAUUAAAAACAGUUUGGACGCUCAGGAUUGCGCCACGUCAUCAGUCAACAGUACGUGGUUUGAACAGUGACACGGUUUGACCACGCGGUUUGAACAGUCAACCGGCUUGAACAGUGACGCGGUUUGGUUGAAAAUAAUCUUGUGUAUAUGCAUGUACCAUACGCGCAAUUUUUGGUCCACUAACAUGCUGCCACGUCACCGAUCAACAGUGCAUAAAGAACUUUCUCCAAUGGAAUCGUGACACCUUAUCAGUCAAUGUCACAUCAUCGAUCCGUCUAUGUGAACAGUGUCGUAAAUAGUAAUGUAGACAAUAUUGUACAUGUGAAUAGUACAGUACAUGUGAACAGUGACCUUUUUCCUUUUAUGUUCCUCCUAAGGUUUUCGAUUGUCCUGAGUUCAAAAGUGAUAUCUGUUUUGCUGUCUGAACUCUCGUUCAUUUUAAAAUGACCAUGAUGCCCCUAAAAUAAAUAAAAUACUUAAUUAAAAGAAAGCACACAUAAUUAAAUCACAAGAAGCUUAAAUAUAUAAAAGUAAGGGUGUUAGUAAAGCUUGAAGUGUAAAAUGAUGAUUUUCUUCUUUAUAAAUAUACAUUUUCUAACACUCAACAUGGACUUGCUGAAAAAGAACUAUAAAAGCUGCUUCUAAACUCUUCUCAGUCAACCCGAUUUUCUCAUUCAUCCUUCUUGUGUCAUACCUCUUCCAAUAAGCCUUUGUCAAUGCUUUCUACAUGUUGUCUGAAUUUUCUUGUUCCAACUAUUGUUCAGAAUAAUAAUACAUGUCUUUUUUCUUGUUAUCAAACUAAUGUUUCUUCUUGUACUGAACCAGUUAAUAAAAUAACUCUUUUUCAUAGGAGAUUUGGGCAUCCUCGUACUCAGAUUCUAUUGCAUUUACUCAAGCAUGUUCCUUCCAUUAAUCUUUCCAAUAAAUCAACUAAACAAGCAUUCCAACAUGUUUGUGAAGCUUGUCAACUAGGGAAGAAUCAUAGGUUACAUUUUCUAAUUACUGAAACAAAAACCUCUUAAGUUCUUGAACUCAUUUACACUGAUUUGUGGGGUCCUUCACCUGUUCUUUCUCGAGAUGGCUAUACCUAUUAUAUCAGCUUUGUUGAUGAUUUUAGUAUAUACACAUGGAUCUAUCCUUUAAGUCUUCAAAUUGUUCAAAUUGUAGGUUGAAAAACAAUUUCAAGCUACCAUUAAAAUACUGCAAUCUGACUUGGGGGGAGAAUACAUACCAUUUACUGAUUUCUUGAAUCAACAUGAGAUCAUCUUUAGGCACUCUUGUCCUUAUACACACCAUCAAAAUGGAUUAGUUGAAACAGAGCACAGACAUAUUGUUGAAUUAAAACUCACAUUGCUAGCUCAAGCUAAACUACCCUUUUACAUUUUGGUGGGAUGUUGUUCACACAGCAGUUUAUCAUAUUGAUAGACUGCCAUCUGCAGUCUUGAAGUUUCUUACAUCUUAUGAGAGAUUGUUUAAGCAUAAACUUGACUAUAAUAUACUUAAAUGUUUUGGUUGUGAAUGUUACCCUUACUUGAGAGUACGGGUGUUCGCGGAUCGGAUUUUACGGAUUGGACAUCAAUCCAUAUCCGAUUCAUGAUUUUACGGAUUAUAAUUUUUCAAUCCAAUCCAAUCCACGGAUUGAUAAAAUUCAAUCCAAAUACAAUCCAUACAUCUUCGGAUUGGAUGCGGAUUUGACUCAAUCCAUAUCCAAUCCAUACGUCUGCAGAUCAGAUGUGGAUUUGACUCAAUCCAUAUGCAAUCCACCAUUUUACGCAUUAGUUUUCGAAUUAAAAAUUUUUAGUUCUCUCCAACUAAUGAAAUAAAAAAAUCUAAUAUAAAAAUAAUUUUGCUACCAAUUAAAUUUAAAAUUGAAUAGAAUUUAAAUAAAUUAAUUGUUUAAAUAAAGCUAAAAUAAUACAUUUAAAGUUUCAAAAUAUAACACAUCGAGACUAAGUAUUCAAAUAAAGUUACAAUAAUACGUUCAAAGUUUCAAAAUAUAACACACCAGACUUAAUUGUUCAAAUAAAGUUACAAUAAUACGUUAAUAUAACACCGAAAUUAAUUGUUCAAAUAAAGGCACAAUUAAUUGAAAUGGCAAAGUUUUGGAAACCAAACACAGUCUGAUUCUUCACCAGGGCUGUUGCGCCUGUCGAAAAGUGAUGAUUACGGAGCCAUCCACGAUGGGAACCAGGAGAAGCCAUACGGGUGGAAAUCUUGAAGGUUGUGAUAGUGAAAUUGUUCAACUGGAACCAGCGAAUGUGAAGUGGCUCGAUGGACUUGGGAAAGAAGAUGGCUUGCUCUCGCCGGAAUCGCGCGGCCGAUGUCCUUUAAAUCCGUGUCGAGAAUGUAUCCAACCAGUAUUGAGCGUUGCUAGUGUGUGUGACGGCGGGGAAGCUUAGGGUUUUUUGUUUGCAAAUUGUUGGUGACUUGGCGUUAUAUUACUUUGCUUUUGCUGGUGCGUGUGACUUUGCUUUUAUUUUGUUUUACAAUUUUUACAAGUUAUAUUUGUAUAUUUGAUUAUUUAAUUAUUUUUCAUUUUAUAUUAUUAUUGGGUAAUGGCUAAGAUAUGUUAUAGUGCUUAGUAACUAUGCAAUGUCACAUUUAUAAUUUUUUUAAUUAAAUUUAUAAUAAUUUUUUAAUUAUAUAUAUAUAUUUUGCGAAUUCACGGAUUUCUGCGGAUUUACAGAAGUAAAUCCAUAUCCAAUCCAUCGACUGCAGAUUUUUAACUUUUCAAUCCAUAUCCAAUCCACCAAUCCACGGAUUGGAUUUAUACGAAUCGAAUUUAACGGAUUGGACGGAUUGAGCGGAUCGGAUUAGAUUCUGAACACCCCUACUUAAGAGAUUAUAACAAGCAUAAAUUUGAUUAUCACUUUAGUAAGUGUAUUUUCAUUGGAUAUAGUCCAUCUCAUAAAUAGUAUAAGUGUUUGCAUUCCUCAGGAAGAGUCUAUAUAGUCAGGCAUGUUAUUUUUUAUGAAUUUUUAUUUCCUUAUUCCUCAUAUUCUGUUUUUAAUUCUAAAAAAUCUGAUCCUUAUUCAGCUUAGUCGUUCACUCCUCAUCAAGUAUAUAAUUUGUCCACAAUAUAUGUAUCUUUACUACCUUCUUAUAGCAGCUAUAAUAAUUCUAAUUUGGUAAGCUCCACCAGUAACAGUACUAAUCACUCAGAUAAUCCUGAUCCAGUUAACAAUUCUUCUUCAUCCUCAUAAAUAAACACUUCAUAUAUUGAACCAUCAAAUACUUCAAUACAACAAACCAAUGCACCAAUCCCUGAACUAAACACUCUUUCAUCUUCACAACUACAACCUACUUCAUCUACACCCCUUCAUACUCAACAAAAUACACACCCUAUGACUACCAUAGGCAAAUCUGAUAUAUUCAAGCCUAAAUUGUACACUGCAACACUCAUUCACACAGAACCAGAUUUUAUGUAUGAAGCAUUACAAGAUCCCAAAUGGUUUGAAGCAAUAAGAGAAGAGUAUAAUGCCUUAAUAAAAAAUGACACAUGGUCAUUAGUUCCAAAAACAUCUUAUUAUAAAGUGGUUGGUAACAAGUGGGUGUACAAAGUGAAGUAUAAUACAGAUGGAAGCUUAUCCAAGUACAAAGCCAGGUUGGUAGCCAAGGGCUUUCAGCAGGUUGCAGGGGUAACCUACUUUGAAACAUUCAAUCAUGUAGUCAAACCAGCUACUGUUAGAGUUAUCUUAAGCUUGGCUGUUAUGAAUAAGUGGAAGAUAAGACAAAUUGAUGUGAAUAAUGCCUUUCUCAAUGGAGAUUUUAUGGAAAAUGUCUUUAUGGAUUAAGUAGCAGAUUUCAUUGAUGCUCAAAAACCAUACUAUGUGUGUAAACUUCAUAAAUCUCUUUAUGGACUUAAACAAACUUCAAGAGCUUGGUAUAAUAAAUUGAAAGGAUGUCUGUUGUAGUGGGGUUUCAUAAACUCCAAAGCUGAUUAUUCUUUUUCAUAAAGAAAACCACCUCAGUCAUGAUUAUGGUGUUGAUAUAUGUUGAUGACAUAUUGGUUACAUAACCAAAUAACAUUGAGCUGGAUAAUUUUAUUACUAAGUUCAACACAGUAUCUACAUUAAAAGAUCUGGCAUUCUUUCUUAUUUUCUGGGGAUAUAAGUUUUAUAUGAUACAAGUUGUGUUUAUUUGUGUCAAAGAAAAUACAUCAGGGACCUGUUAUCAAAAGUCCAAAUGCUUGAAUGCAAGGACAUUGAUACACCUAUGAGUACGAGGGUUAAAUUGCAGAAAGAAACUCAUAGAAGUCUUGGACAUUAUGUUGAAGAUCUAACCCACUAUAGAAGUAUAGUUGGUGGAAUGAAGUAUUUAAUAUUGACAAGACUAGAGAUUGCCUUUGUUGUGAAUAAAUUGAGGCAAUAUAUAUCAUCACCUAUAUUGCAGCAUCUUAUGGCAUGUAAACGAGUUUUAAGAUACUUGAAAAGCACUUAAGAUUAUGGUCUUAAAUCUGUUCAAGAUGGAGAUAUAAAACUCAUAGCAUUCACUGAUGUAGACUGGGCUUCUAACUUGGAUGACAGAAAAUCGGUUGGUGCAUAUUGUGUCUACUUAGGCAAUAAUUUAAUAUCCUGAUCAUUUAAAAAGCAAUCAGUUGUUACCAGGUCAAGUGCAGAGAGUGAAUACAGAUCUUUAGCUUCAGUAAGUGCAUAACUCAGUUGGUUACAGUCACUGUUUUCUGAAAUAGGAUUGAGAUGCACAGAAACAUCUACCAUUUGGUGUAAUAACAUUAGUGCUACAGAGUUAGUUCGAAAUCGUGUUUAUCAUUCAAGAACAAAGCAUAUUGAACUUAAUAUGCAUUUUAUCAUAAAUAAGGUAAUUGCUGGUGAGCUUCAUAUUCAUUACAUUUCAAGUAAUGAACAAAUUGCUGACAUUAUGACAAAGCCUCUUUCAUUUGUUCACUUUAAUUAUCUAAGAGUCAAACUCAAUGUCCUUCAGUGUCCCUUGAGUAUGAGUGGGGUUGUUAAGGCUACUCAUUGUGGAGGAUAUACUGAGGCUAAAAAGAACAUGCUUAAGAAGCAAAACCACGUCAGCAUCAGUGAGUCAGCAAAGAUUGUUAAGGAAAUUAGAACUUCAGCUGGUAGCUCAACAUAUGUUGUUGAAAGUUUGUUAGUAGUCAUAUGAAAUGUGUGUAACAAAAUAAUUAGUUUUAAGUAAUAAGUAAUUGAAGUUUGUUAUAGAUCGUUACAUAAAUGUGUAUGUAUAAAUACAUGUGUGUAUUAAUUUAAUAAGUCAAGAAGAUUCUGAAUUCAAUAAAAUUAAUUUUCUCUCUAUGAUUUUCUUUUCAGCCAAACACAGUUGCUUUCAACUUUCACAACUCUCAGAGAACAUGCCUUUAUCAAACAUACCAUAUGAUCUGCCCUAAAAAAUUGUUCAUCUUAUCUUUCUUGCUACGCUUAACGAUGAAACUUAUCUGUCUGUUCGAUUAUAAUCAUCACCAUCAAAGGAACUCCACCAACCAAAAAAUUUAUACACAUUUUGUGUGCUCUGUAUAUUUAGUUAUUGCAAAAUAUGAUCUACUAAACUAUGUUUUGCUAACCAUUCACAUAUGUUCCUAACAUGCUACAAUAUUAUGGAAGUACCACAAUUAUGUAUUUCCAGCUCAUGUUGUCUAUUUCUUAUGUCGACAUUGCAACUUGCAUUUUGAAUCCACUUCUUAACACCUAGAAUUGCAGCAUCUUCUCGAUAUUACAUAUGUGUUCGUGGUAUAUUCAACAUGUCUGCUCCAUUUUUCCCUUCCAUUUACGUUUGCACCUCCAUUUAAUUUACUUCAUGUAUGCUCACUUCCAAUUGAAACGCAGUUCAAUGUGCUGUUAAAUUGAUGGCAUAUACUUGACUAUAUUGUUCUCAUUCCAAUAAAGAUUAUUCUCUAAUCAACAAACCUAUUUCACAGAUGUUGGGCAUUUGGUCGCUUGCGUCUUAACCAACCACCCAAUUUCGUUCAUAUUUGUUAUUUAAAGCACUGCCUUUGGUGAUAGCCAUAUAAGAGCACAUGUACAGGUGUUGUAUCUAACAUCAAUUCCAUAGUUCCUGUUCCCCAACUUAAUUUUCCCCAUUCCCCUCCAUUCCAUUUUGCUCCACAUUUUUUCAGAUUUUCACUUGUUAUUCUAAUCCUAGCUAUGGAUCGACCAAAUUCUUUAAUAAUCCAAUCUAAAUGUCUUCAAAUUGGACGCAGAUUUCACACAGUCUAAUGGACCAUUAUUUCCAUUAAAAUUUUCUUUAUUAUCUUCACUCCACAAUUUGUUGUUUUUCUCGUUCCACAUUAUUGUUUUCUCAAUUAUAUUUUUUUGCCCAUUUCUUUUCUCUCCUUCCUCUUUCUUUUUAUAAUACAUAAUGUAUUGUUAUUUUAAUCUCAUUUUCGCAUUAUUUCCAUAUGCAUACACUACAAAUAAUGCCACUUACACAAGUUCUCAUCUUUCUAUAUUAGUCAAUUGUUAAUAACAAGUGCAAUUCCAAAUUAGCGUUUUACGUGCAUCCAAUCCACCCACUGAGACUUUCAUUUUUUUUCUAUGCUUUCAACCUCUUCAACAAUCCAUCUACUUCAUCUCUGCAUGAUUUUCUUUUGCUCCAGUUUCUUCCAACCUGCGGGAUUUAUCGGCUCUGACUUGCAUUCUGAAUACCACUAAUCAACAUCAUGUGCAAAAAAAUAUAAAACUAAACAAAGCUUUUCAUUAUUUGUUCAUUAUUACUUUAAUUACCAUAAGUUAAUCUCAUUGUAUUUUUCAUUGCUACAGUACGAUCCAUUAUAUGCCGCUUGCAACAAAUAACAUGUUCAACAUGUACAUUUUUUUUGUCCCUCACAUAUUACUUGGUUCUACAUAUAGUUAUUCCAUAUUUACUAUUUUAUUGUUAUAUACACCAAUAUUUUCUUGGUUUCUUGGACAAUUAAUUGCAACAUUAACAGUUCCUGUCUAAUGACCAGCACUCCCGGUUUCCUUCAACUACCAGAUGACCACUUCACACCUGCAUGAUCUUGAUACUUUUCAUCUAACAGCCACUUUGCUAACCAACGGGCCUUUGGUCCAGUGGGAGAGCCCUUGCACUUAGAAUAAUGAGUGCAAGGGUUCGAGCCUCCAUAAAAGCAUUUAUGGGGCUUAUUUACAAUCCUUCCUCAAUUAUCACAUAAUUGAGUGGAGCCAGUCUAUUCCUCACGAAAUGUGAGUAGAGUGGACAGCCCUCGAAUAUUUGAGAGGGUUUGAAGAAUUUGGGCAGCGCUUCAGAGAAGUACAUGCCACGAUGAAGGUCCCAAUUGUAGAAUCUGUGUGUAAAUAUUAAUUAUAAUACCUACAGUCCUGUAUAAACAGUAUUAAAAAAAAAACAGCCACUUUGCUAGAUGACAAAACAAGGUGUACGGUACCCAAGGGGCACGGUAGACAUUGCUUGAUUAGAAAUCCUGUUUUUCUUAUUUUCGGACAUUAAGCAUAUUUGUUUAGUUUAAUGGUGUGUUUAUAUUUCGGAUUGAAAAAUUAAAAAUUUUAAAAUUAAAAUUAUUGACUGUAUUUACUUCACAAAAUGAAAAUAAGAAUGAGAAUCAUUUGAGUAAGACUCACAACAAAAUGGGAUUGGGGAAUUUCCAUUUGUGGGACCAACAUUUUUAAAUCCAAUUUUAUCUUCAAUUCAAAACACAAAAAAAAAAAACCACAAAAGUCAAAGCCAGCAACCAUUAUUGAUCAGAUUUAGCAGCCAUGUUCGACCCACGCUGAUCACCAAAUGCAGCAAAGCUAGUUGUUGCGCACACUGGUCGUUAGCCUCUUGUUAUUCGUCGCAACGAUGUUCGGACAAUGGUAGAAACAAGCACGGGUGUUGUAUAUAACCCGCAACUUUCAAUAACAAGAGCUUGUCGGUUGUCCAGCCACCACUCACGGCUUAGUCAAAAUUGUUUUUUUUUUUUAAUUUUUUUUAUCAUCAUUAUUAUUAUUUUUAUCAUUAUGUUAAUUUUUUUCAUUAUUAUUAUUAUUAUUAUUUUAUCAUCAUCAUUAUUGUUAUUGUUAUUUUUUUUAUUCUCAUGGUUAUUAUUAUUAUUAUAUUAACAAUUAAGGGUCUUCUAAUAAUUUGGAACAAUUCAUUCUAAUGUCAAAACACUGUAAACACAUCAAUACAAAAAUUAUACAUUUCUAUUCCUGUAGCUCAAAUAAAUAAUUUAUUUUUUUAUUUAUGUAAUUUAAAUAAAUAACUUAUUUUUAUUUUUAUUCUUCCUUCUUAUCCCAAUUUAUUCUUAUUCCAAUCGAUUCCAAGUGUGUAAGUUGAUUGAAAAUUAUACUUUAUGGAUAAAUACAUCGAUGAAAUUAUAUUUACAAAUUAAUAUACUUAUCUUGUAUAAUUUUAGGUGACGAACUUAUGUGGUAUGAAAUGAUUGGUUGGUUACAAGCAUCGACGGCUUUCACUUUUUAGUGAAUCCCUUCAUGCCACGUAAAGUGGGACAAGGGUUCUGAAUUGAUUGGGGCAGAAACAGGAAAUGACUUGUAACGAUUGUAAUAUAUAAGUGUUGUGAGGUAGAUGGAUUCUUUAACCAAAAGAAUGCUUGCGGAUUAAACAUCACUGUUUGCAGUUGCCAAAUUUAUCAUCCUCUACCUACAACUCAUGUGAUAGUGAUACAUAGCUACAGUUUAUCCUCUCUAUCUCUAUCGCAUUAACUUGAUUUCAAGAAUGUAAUACGCAAGUUGUAAUGUAACAUUUAUAUAGCAUUGACUCGUAUCAAUAUCCUCUUGAGGGAAGAAAAAAUAUUAAUAAACAAACAAACAAACAAACUUGUAUCAGUAACCUUUCAUUUCAAUCUCAGUGUUGGAUUCUAGCAUAUAACUAGUAGUUGACACAAAUAAUUGUCAUUAAACUGAUAACAACGUUUCUAAUUAUAUAUUAUCAUCGAAGAUUCAAGCAAAGAGUGCAUGAAAGUGCAAGGUAAUUAUAGCUAAUGGUUGACACAAAUAUAUAGCUGUCAUUAAACUAAAUGUCGGUAUUUAUCAAAUUAAAUUAUAGCUACCUUAGUACUAAAUAUGAGUUUAAUUAGAUGAGAUGAGAUUUGAUGUGCCUUAAAAAGCUUUGCCCUCGAGCAAUGCCCCUCUUUAGUAUACCAGAGGUUCUACGUCACGAUCUAACGAGCAACCACCAAUUAAUAAUAUUAAGACACAUGGUAAUAAAAAUUAAAAAAAAAUGGAAUAAACAAUACAUAUUCCCCUCUUUUUAUUAUCCCUAUAAAAUUUUUAAAGUACGAGACAAAACAUUAAAAUUGUCUCUCUCUCACGUAAUUAACUCCAUCUUAUUCUUUUUUUCUCUCUCUCACUCAAACCUUUCAUCUAUCAUCUUUUUAAAAAAGAUAUCGACUCUUUGACUGAUUAUGCAUAAUAUGUGAAAGAUUUUAGUAAUAUAGGUCCAGAAUUAAUUCUUUGUAAUUAUAGGAAGAGUUUUAACGGAUUUGCAAAAGACAAAAGUUCAAAUAAUGGCUGUCGGUGGGGGGUGAACAUAACUUUUUUUUUGGGUGAAUUGUUAAUUAAUUUAAUACCAAUUUUAAUUUGCCAUAAGAAUGAAACUAAGGGAAGUAAUACAACUUUUUGGUCAUUAUUUGAAGCUAUAUUAUCCUCGCUGUUGAUUUGGCUUCAAAACGAGCUGAAACUCUUAAAUGGUAUUUUUCCUUUGAUGAAUAGAUAGGCGAAGCAGCCAAUCUAUUUCAAUUAUUUAAAGCAAUGGGAGGCAUUGGAAAGUGAUGAAGUGAUUGGAAUAUUUGACACUGGAAUUUGAGAAAGUUUUAAUUAAAAUGGCAGCACUCAUGUUUCAAAAAUCAUCUUCUCUUCACCAUCAACAGAAAUCUUCUCCUUCGUAAUAACAAAAAUUAACUAUAAUCAUUUUCAUCAAUUUUUUUUUUAAAUUCUUCAUCACGUUUUAAAAAUGGCAGCCGGUGGAACAAAGAUGAAAGAUGAAGAUUUGGGUGAGAGAGAGAGAGAGAAUUAGACAGAGUUAAUUAAGGGUGAGAGAGAAAAAUUUAAUGCUUCGUCUGUUCAAAUUUUUGGUGGGAUAAACAAAAGUGGAUAAUAUGUAAUUUUGGAAGCCAGCUCCCGUAUUUAGAUAUUAUAAUCAAUGGUUUCAGUUUUUACGUUAAAUUGUAAGUUAUGAUUAUAUUAGAGUUGUUUUAAAAUAGAGCAUAAAUUAUAAUUAUAUAUGUAAAAUAAUAAAUAAUAAAUAAUUUAUUAUUAUUUUAAUUAUAUAAUAAUAAAAAAAUAUUCUAUCUUAAAAUAAUUUUAACAUAAUAAAUUCUAAAUUAUAAUACGAUACUUUUAAUGUACCGUAAAAUUUUUCCAUUUAAGGUCAUGUUGCAGCAGGCCAAGCAUCAACCCAACUCUUCAAUUUUUUAUUUAUGAAAAAUAGUAAAACCAAUUUAAUAUGUCAAAAUAUCGCUAUGACUUGUCAUUGGUAUUAAUGCCAAAAUUAAUGCUAUUGAUGGUAGACUCAGAAAUUAAAGUCUUCCGAAACUUGCUUUUCGUAAUUAAAGAGCCACUGCGAGUCCAGGCCAUGGAGUUAUUCGUUAAUGGUCAUGGCGAGUUUUACAAUCAAUAAUUUUUAAUGCUCGCAACUACCUCUAAAUUAUUAUUAAAAAAAAAAAGAGAGAGAAAAGGACUUAGUACUAAAAACUUUUAUAAGACUGUAAUCGCUAAUUGUUAAUUUUUUAUAAAAAUAAAUAUAUUUAAUUAAAUAUUAAUUAUAUACCGCUAUAGAUGCACAUGUUGCACGAGAUGUAUGUUAAAAAAUUUAACGAUUGACUUAAGUUCAAUAUUUAAAAGCUAAAUAAUUCAAUUAUUUCAUGGACAAUUAGACCUGUGAGAGCAUCAAUGAUGAGCGUCCUGACUUCAGCUCUCAACCAAACGUUUUGUUAUGGAUCAAGAUUUUCUUCUAAUUUAAUUUUUAUUUAAAUAAAUUUUAUUAAUAUAAUUAGUGAUUAAUAAAUUAAAAAAAUAAUUAAAUUAUAAUCAUUCACUAACAUUAAAACACAAGUGGCAUAAGAUCUAUAAAAAAUUAUAAGUGCUCAUAUUAAAAAAAGAUCCUGAUCUUUUGUUAUGAUGCUCAUAGUGUGCAACGGUACAUUGCAUCAUUUAUAUAUUUAAAAUUUUUGCGUUAUAAUUGUGAUCGUACUAGCUGAAGCUUCACUUUAGUAAAGUGAAAGUGAAGCUUCUCGCCACUUCAGCUGAACCUUAGUUUCCCGUAACUCCAUCAUUUGAAAUCAAUAGCAAACUUAGGGAAACGGUUUGUUUAAUCUCUAAAUUUUAAAUUAACUGUUGGUUUAAUUUUAAUAUUUUAAAAAUAUCUUAAAAUAUAAAUAUUAUUGAUUAUAUUACAUUUUUAUCUUUACUUUUAAUAAUAAUAUUUUUACAAUAAUUUUUUUUACAAAUACCAAAUUAACUUUAAAAGUAAAGUAAUCGUAAAAAAAAUUUACAUUAAUUUUUAUCUUCUUUUCUAUUUAAUUUGAUUAAUUAAUAUUUUUUUCUCUUUAUUAAUGCCCCAAGAUUAUUGCCAUGAUAUUUUUGUAAAAUAUAUAUUAAAAAAGGCACAAUUCUAAUCUGUGGGCUGUGGCAAUGAGGCUGCCAAAGUGCCAAGUCUCAAAUUUUGGUGCUGUACAUGUCGUCGGUUUUUGUUGGGUGUAAUAACAAAGCGGCAUUAAAUUCCUUUUCCACGUAGUCAUCAAUUCAUUCAAUUCAAUUUCUGGUCAAACUUCAAAAAUAAUUUAGCCCCCCUGGUCCAUAUUUGCAUAGUAAUAUAUAUUAAAAAAAAUUAUGUUUGUUUACUCCUAAGAAAAUUAUUGGAAUCAUUUAAAUCAUUUACAUUAUAGUGCAGUCUAAAUUUUUAUAUUCUCGAUGGAUAAUUUUUUCUGAAUUAUGUUUGUAAGGUGAUGAUACUACGAUUUAUAACCUAUCUUAGGACUCAAUUGGAGGGAAGUAAGCUGGUUUUGGUGGCUGUAAUGAUAUAUACUUGCAAAACUGGGUCAAGAACUAGCCAAAUUAGUUGUCCACAGGUCAAUGUCUCAGUAACCACAAUCCCAUUUUUGGCAAACUAAUUAACACUUCAGUGACUUGUCCCAAUGUAUAGUGGUUACAUGUCAUAAUCUGAAUUAAUUUUUCGUUGUUCAAUCACAAUCAUCAAUUUUUUCUUUGCUUUAAUUAAAAAUUUAAACAGUAGAAAAUGAUUUUUUUUUUUUUUCAUAUCAAUUUUUCGGUAAUCAAUCUAAUAGCGGAACCAAACCAUGCGGUGGGCUCGAAUAUUUAAACCAAAAAAUUAAUGGAAGGGCUUGUAUACUAGAGACUCCAGUCUAUAUAUGGUAAAGAAGCAGACUGAAUAUAACAGUCAACAGACACCCAGGUGUUUAAUUUGGACUCAAAACAGAACCAAGUACAUUGCAGUUCAGCCGCCCUCUCUCAUAUCCAUUUUCCAAAAAAGGAACCAAUUAAGUACAGUAAAUUAAAUUUAAAAAAAAUAUGGGGAGAAAUUGCCAUCCUUUGUUGAGUGGGAGGAGAAGCAAAGCGGAGAAACACAAUCAUGGCCUCAGUUCAGCUGAGUUGCUCUCAUUGGCUAGCCUAUGCGAGGUCUUUUUACCCACUUUGUCUUCUGUUUCUUCGGAGGGCAAAGAGGAUCGUCCUAGCCAGGCCCUGGAAUCUUUUUACAAGGCUUCUGGGGCACAGGCCCCAGUUCCUGAUAAGGUAAUUAAAUAUUCAACUUAAAAGAUUAGUUAGUUUUUAUUUUUUUAUUUUUAUCAUUUAGAAUAACGAGUCAAUGCUCGUUAAUCUGAAAUUGAUCAUAAACAUAUUAAUCCAAUAUCCAACUUAAAGAUUAGCUCUUUUUAAAAAAAAAAAAUUAUUCAGAAUAACGAGUGAUUGCUCGUUAACCUGAAAUUGAUCAUUAACAUGAAUUGGUUUGUUUGACUGGCAGGUGGCGGAGAUUGUGGUGAAGAGGCUACUGACUGAAGCUGUGAUAUUGAUCAGAGUGGUGUUGCUGAUGCUAUCCACAAAGCUGGGGACGUUGAUGCUUUGUGGGUCUCUUUGUUUAAGUGAGAAAUGGCCUUAUAUUAACAACUUUUCAAGCAUGUCAUUGGAGAAGAGGGAAAAGGUUUUGCAGAAAUGGUUCAAGAACUGGAUUUUUACUCCUGUUAGAAUUGCAUUUUUUAUCCUCAAAACUUUUUGCCUCUUCGUUUUCUUCUGUCAGGUAACUUCUUUCACUUGGAAAAUUUCUUUGCAUUUUUUUGUUAUUUUUGACAUAUACAUCUACAUGAGUACUUUUUUUUUUAAAAAAAAAAAAAAAAAACUUGUUGCAAUUCUAUAGAACCAUUUCAAUAUGAAAUUUGUGAGAUUUUAGAUACAUAUGCUUGCAGUUUAGCUUAGAUGUCAACCGAGCAUUGACUUAAAAAUCUAUUAUCACAAAUAAUUUUAGAGAAAUGUAUUUUUAAUCCAUAUUUAUAAUAAAGUAAUCUUUCAGUUACAUUUAAUAUAACUUACAAUCACUAAAAUAAUACAAAAAUAAGUAAUAAGCAAGUGGGUCAAGUGAGGCUAAUUUUAUAUUAAUUGUAACUUAAGGAGAGCCUUAUAAUAAAGGAAAUGAGAAGAACACGAGCAAUCAAUAAAUCAAUUAGGUCUUAUAAUUAGAAUUUGACACUAUGAGUGCGUUUAAAAUUGAGAUUGAACAGUUGUGUCUUAAAAGUUACCGCACUAAAACGUUUGAUAAACACUAACUGUUGUACCUUACAGCUAUGUUGAGAUAAUUUUCACUUAUAAGAUGAAAAAUCUAUUAUAUCUUUAAUAAUUUUAUCAAAAUUAUUAUUUAAAAUUUAUAUUUACUAUAUAUUAUUAAAUUUUGUUUCGUUGUUACAAUUUUUUUCUACAGCAUUUGUAGCUUAAAAGUUAUAGAUUCAGCUACAGCACCUUAAUCUCAAACAGAACUUAUAAACCACAAUUUAAUAUUUAAUUGCUGCGCUAUAGUGUUAGAUUCACAUUUUUCUAAAAAAAUGUGGUAUAUAUUAUAAAUUUUAAAAAUAUGUAUAAGUUUUGUGAUUAAUAUGUUUCAUUUAUUUUCUUGCCUAGGAAAGUGCCGUUUAGUAUUUUACAUAGUUUAAUAUUUAAUUGCUGCUCUAUAGUGUUAGAUUCACAUUUUUCUAAAAAAAUGUGGUAUAUAUUGUAAAUUUUAAAAAUAUGUAAAAUUUUUGUCAUUAAUAUGUUUCAUUUAUGUUCCUGCCUAGGAAAGUGCCGUUUAAUAUUUUACAUAUGAAAUAUUGAAAAUUAUAACAUUACUAUACCCACAAAUUAUUAUUCUAAAAUUUAACUUCAAACAUGCCGCAUCCGGACGAAAGGACAUAUUAUUUAGGAGUGAGUUUUGGAUAUGUUUUAUGAACUGUCGUAAAUUGUUAGCUUUAGCAAAUGUUUUUGAAAAUAAAUGGGUAGGUUAAAGACUUGAGAAUAUAAAAAAUGGCAAGUAAUAAAUAUGAUUUUAUCAUUUAAAAAUUUUCAAUAAAUUUAUAAAUCAACAAUUUUUUCGUAUUUAUUAUAAAGAUCACUUUCAUAAUUCAACAUAGUCCAAAUUAAGGGAAAAAUUAUACAGCCAGCCAUAACUUAGAAAUUUCCAAUCUCUUUGAUUCCGAGUUUUGAGUACUAUUUUAGGAUUCCUGAAAAAAUGGAAAAAUCAUUUUUAAUAAAAGAAUUCAUCCACGACCAAAAAGACUCUAUCAUGAUUCAUUGGUCACAUAUUAAUCACACGCAUUAAAGCAGUUGUUGUAGAUUGGAUAAAAAAUUUUGUGCCAACAAGCAAAUAUAUAUAUAUAUAUAUAUAUAUAAGGAAAACAGAUAAACAUAUUGAAGGAUAAAACAUCGUUAUCAUUUGUAAUUAGGUUGUUGAAUUAAUUUAUAUGUAGGAACCUUAAAUGAAUACUCAAACAAAUGAAUUGGAUAGAUACUAUCUUUGUCAUUGAAAUGGAAUGAACAGAUAGAGAGAAAUAAUAAAUUUACAACAUUUAAGGGUGAGGGGUGUCGGAAUCCCACAUAGCUUGAUUAGAACUCAAGAAUUUCGUUUAAGGACUUUUGAGUGGACUCAAAUCAAAAGCGAUCUAAUUAAGAUAAUAUAUGUUAUACCUAAAAGCAACCUAUUAUUACAAGAAGCUAUGAUGUUGAAAAAUUAAUAUUGUUUUGGUGCUUGCUUUGACCAAAAGAUUUGGGAUUAUAGAUUUUUUCUUUGAAUUCAAUUACAAUAGUUUUUGGGUACAAAAGUCAAGAAUUAAGGUAGAGAAAGAGAAAGAUCUUUAUUUGAUUUAUAUUUAUGAGAGGUGAUCAAGUGCGCACAAUCGCGCUCUAUAUCAAGUUCCUUAUAUUUAUUUCUUUGGUACAAUAUAGUUAGAGAGGCAAGAAGCUAAGCGAGUCAUAAAAGAAGCUUACUCUUAAUACAUGACAUACUAAGCAAUAAGAACACAACCGGUAUACAAUUAAAGUACAUUUGCAAUUCACAAAUUCGCCGUUCCUUCUGCAGCUUGAUGAAAAUGGAAAAAAUCCAGCAUGGGAAGCGAUUGAUUAUCAUGUAGAAAAUGAUGAGGAUGUGUCCGAGGUUCAACAGGAGAGGCCUCUAGAGAAGGGAAUAGUUGAAACAAUGUAUGAAACCGACUCAACCAUUGUACAGUCACUCACUCAGAAAGGCCUCCAAGUUACGAAAGAUUCUAAACAGAAUGUGUACAAAAUCAAAUGUGAUGUUGUAAUUGUUGGCUCUGGUUGUGGAGGUGGUGUUGCAGCAGCUGUUCUGGCUAGUGCUGGGCAGAAGGUUGUUGUAAUUGAGAAAGGGAACUACUUCACUCCUAAGGAUUAUUCUCUCCUUGAAGGUCCUUCAUUUGAGCAACUAUAUGAAUCUGGAGGGAUCCUUCCAACUACUGACGCGAGCAUGACGAUUCUGGCAGGAUCAACUGUUGGUGGCGGCUCAGCUGUCAACUGGUCGGCCUGCAUCAAGACACCCAAGUCCUUGCUUCAGGAAUGGGCAGGGGACUAUAAGCUCCCACUCUUUGGUAGCCCUGACUAUCUUUCGGCAA